GUCUACGGCCAUACCACCCUGAACGCGCCCGAUCUCGUCUGAUCUCGGAAGCUAAGCAGGGUCGGCCCGGUUAGUACUUGGAUGGGAGACCGCCUGGGAAUACCGGGUGCUGUAGGCU
rnacentral:rRNA from 1 species